rnacentral:rRNA from 1 species
UACGUAGGGGGCAAGCGUUGUUCGGAAUUACUGGGCGUAAAGCGCGCGUAGGCGGUUUGAAAAGUCAGAUGUGAAAGCCCCGGGCUCAACUUGGGAGGGUCACGCGAUACUGCUCGACUUGAAGGCAGGAGAGGGAAGUGGAAUUCCCGGUGUAGUGGUGAAAUGCGUAGAUAUCGGGAGGAACACCAGUGGCGAAGGCGGCUCUCUGGAACGCAACUGACGCUGAGACGCGAAAGCGUGGGGAGCAAACAGG